UCCACCGCCACCACCGCACGGGUGUCUUUCAUGGACGGCACGGGUCUACUCCUGCCGUGCGCCCCACCCCCACCCCACAAGGGCGCUUUUAUAGUUCAACCGUGUCUCAGCGAUACGUUAGCUCUGUGAAGCUUGUAAGCGGAACCCGAGGGCCAUGCACUCUCGCCCAGACGGUCGCGUGUAGAGUCGAGGGAGAAGAACUUCGUAGCCGCGCCCAGCAUGCCCUCGGCCGUUGUUGUUGGCUGCCAUGAUUGACUGAUCGUACCGCUGCGCGAUCACAUCCUCACGCGUGUGGCGAAUCGAGAGCUUGCCUACUUCAGCUUACCUUUUCUCUUUUCUCGUGACUGCUCUCAAUCGGUGAGGCCUCGCUCAACUAUGCGACUUUGCCGCUUGCGCCCCUUCGCUGUCCCAAAGGAGACAGACGCGCCGAAAAUGCAGGAGCGCAACAGCGGGAAAUCAUCGGCCUUGAUCGGCAUUGUUCCCUCGUUUCACCACUAGCGCCAGCGUGUAGGCAGCCCUACCGUUCUCUUGUUCGAGGUUCAUCCACUAGUAUUUGCCGUUGCUCCGCCCCCUCCCCCUCAUCUCCCUGUGUGAGGCUUGCCGCCAUCACUGCCCUCGCUCGUUGGAGCGCCGUCAGCUCUGCUUCCCCUCUCCUUUCUCGCUCCCUUUACAACUCUAUCCUUCACAAGGCAUCCAUUCCCUUUUUCUGUCCUGGUGCAUCCGUGCGUUUACCGGAAUUUUUCCCGGUGCGCCUGUGUGUCGCUGUCAGGGGCGUCGCCGUCUGGUCUCUCUCUCCUCUUCCUCGCGCUGAGGUCCAUGUCGUCUUCGCACGCACCGGCACAUGCCUGUGUGUUUGUGUGUGUGUGUGUGUGUGUGUGUGUGUGCGUGUGUGCCCGGGCGCGUGUGAUUGGCCCCCGGAGAUGAAGAGCAACGGCAAACAGAGAGAAAAACAGAGCAGCGCAUCAUUCGUGAGCCAGCGGAUCGCGCUGAGGAUCAACGAGCUGUCAUGUUUGACGACGGCAGCACAGUGGCGACGCGUGCGGUGCACGGGCCAGACCAAGGUGCCUUCUGUCGGUGCGCAGGCACGUGUAUGUGUCUUGGUGGCUUUGGUGGCGAUGAUGUUCUCUUUGUUUGCCUGCCUGCUUUCUGCGUCGCGCCAGCCUUCACCGCGGAUGUUGCCGGUGAGAAGCCAACCACGGACGCCCUGACGGAGCGCCCCUGUCGCCCAUCACGAACUCCUCCCGUUUGCACCCCCCUCUCCUUCUCUUUUCCUCUCUCCCUCUCCCUGUCCUCCUUUCGAGACUCAACGGCAUCACACACGCAUGCGCGCAAAAUCCUUUGUAAAG
rnacentral:misc_RNA from 1 species